UCCCGCUUAUCACGGGCAGUUUCCUUAGAGUUCCCAGCAUUACCUGAUGGCAACUAAGGACGAGGGUUGCGCUCGUUGCGGGACUUAACCCAACAUCUCACGACACGAGCUGACGACAGCCAUGCAGCACCUGUGUGAUAGCCACCCGAGGUGAAGGACUCCAUCUCUGGAGCCCAAACUAUCCAUGUCAAGGCCUGGUAAGGUUCUUCGCGUUGCCUCGAAUUAAACCACAUGCUCCACCGCUUGUGCGGGUCCCCGUCAAUUUCUUUGAGUUUUAACCUUGCGGCCGUACUCCCCAGGCGGGAUGUUUAACGCGUUAGCUACGUCACUGAGAGGGAACCCCCCAACAACUAACAUCCAUCGUUUACAGCGUGGACUAC
rnacentral:misc_RNA from 1 species